rnacentral:tRNA from 13 species
GGGCCUAUAGCUCAGUUGGUUAGAGCAGCGGACUCAUAAUCCGUUGGUCCCAGGUUCAAGUCCUGGUGGGCCCACCA